AUGCCCAGCCGUAAAACAUCAACUCACAUAACACACGCCAGGGAAUUACGAGCCUAGCUCAAAACCCAAAGGACUUGACGGUGUCCCACCCCACUAGAGGAGCCUGUCCUAAAAUCGAUGCUCCCCGCUAUACCUCACCACUUCUUGCUUGAAUCAGCUAGUAUACUUCCGUCGCAAGCUCACCAUAUGAGUGUGCACAGUGGGCCUAAUUAUCCUUACACCAACACGUCAGGUCAAGGUGCAGCUUAAGAAGUGGGCUGAGAUGGGCUACAAUUUCUAGCUUAGAACAUACGAAAUACUGAAUGAAACCCAGGCAUGAAGGUGGAUCUAGUAGUAAAAAGAAAAUAGAGUGUUCUUUUUAAUACGGGCACUGAGACACGUACAAACCGCCCGUCACCCUCUUCAACAGGCACUAAGAGUCCAUAACACUCCCCCCAACCACAGAAGAGGCAAGUCGUAACAAGGUAAGCGUACCGGAAGGUGCGCUUGGAUCAG
rnacentral:rRNA from 1 species